rnacentral:rRNA from 1 species
UCAAGCGAACAAGUGCAUGUGGUGGAUGCCUUGGCGAUUACAGGCGAUGAAGGACGCGGUAGCCUGCGAAAAGCUUCGGGGAGCUGGCAAACGAGCUUUGAUCCGGAGAUGUCCGAAUGGGGAAACCCGGCCCGAAUGGGUCAUCCCUGACUGAAUACAUAGGUCAGGGAAGCGAACGCGGCGAACUGAAACAUCUAAGUAGCUGCAGGAACAGAAAUCAACCGAGAUUCCCAAAGUAGUGGCGAACGAAAUGGGAAGAGCCUUGUACUCUUUAGCAGCAUUGUUAGCAGAACGGGAUGGAAAGCCCGGCCAUAGCAGGUGAUAGCCCUGUAUGCGAAAACAGCGUUGUGGAACUAGGUGUACGACAAGUAGGGCGGGACACGUGAAAUCCUGUCUGAAGAUGGGGGGACCAUCCUCCAAGGCUAAAUACUCGUAAUCGACCGAUAGUGAACCAGUACCGUGAGGGAAAGGCGAAAAGAACCCCGGGAGGGGAGUGAAAUAGAUCCUGAAACCGCAUGCAUACAAACAGUCGGAGCCUGGAAACGGGUGACGGCGUACCUUUUGUAUAAUGGGUCAGCGACUUACAUUCAGUGGCAAGCUUAACCGAUUAGGGAAGGCGUAGCGAAAGCGAGUCCGAAUAGGGCGUUGAGUCGCUGGGUGUAGACCCGAAACCAGAUGAUCUAUCCAUGGCCAGGUUGAAGGUGCGGUAACACGUACUGGAGGACCGAACCCACUAACGUUGAAAAGUUAGGGGAUGAGCUGUGGAUAGGGGUGAAAGGCUAAACAAAUCUGGAAAUAGCUGGUUCUCUCCGAAAACUAUUUAGGUAGUGCCUCGUGUCUCACCUUCGGGGGUAGAGCACUGUCAUGGUUGGGGGGUCUAUUGCUGAUUACCCCGCCAUAGCAAACUCCGAAUACCGAAGAGUGCAAUCACGGGAGACAGACAUCGGGUGCUAACGUCCGGUGUCAAGAGGGAAACAACCCAGACCGCCAGCUAAGGUCCCAAAGAUUGGCUAAGUGGGAAACGAAGUGGGAAGGCUAAAACAGUCAGGAGGUUGGCUUAGAAGCAGCCACCCUUUAAAGAAAGCGUAAUAGCUCACUGAUCGAGUCGUCCUGCGCGGAAGAUGUAACGGGGCUAAGCCAGUCACCGAAGCUGCGGACGCACGCAAGUGCGUGGUAGGAGAGCGUUCUGUAAGCCUGUGAAGGUGUCUUGUAAAGGAUGCUGGAGGUAUCAGAAGUGCGAAUGCUGACAUGAGUAGCGAUAAAGGGGGUGAAAGGCCCCCUCGCCGUAAGCCCAAGGUUUCCUACGCAACGUUCAUCGGCGUAGGGUGAGUCGGCCCCUAAGGCGAGGCAGAGAUGCGUAGCUGAUGGGAAGCAGGUUAAUAUUCCUGCACCGUCGUAUGAUGCGAUGGGGGGACGGAUCGCGGAAGGUUGUCCGGGUGUUGGAAGUCCCGGUCCCUGCAUUGGAGAAGGCGCUUAGGCAAAUCCGGGCGCGGAAUUCAAGGAUGUGGGGCGAGCGGCCUAGUGCUGCGAAGCAAUUGGAAGUGGUUCCAAGAAAAGCCUCUAAGCUUCAGUCAUACGAGACCGUACCGCAAACCGACACAGGUGGGCGAGAUGAGUAUUCUAAGGCGCUUGAGAGAACUCGGGAGAAGGAACUCGGCAAAUUGGUACCGUAACUUCGGGAUAAGGUACGCCCUUGUAGCUUGACUGGCCUGCGCCAGGAGGGUGAAGGGGUUGCAAUAAAAUGGUGGCUGCGACUGUUUAAUAAAAACACAGCACUCUGCAAACACGAAAGUGGACGUAUAGGGUGUGACGCCUGCCCGGUGCCGGAAGAUUAAAUGAUGGGGUGCAAGCUCUUGAUUGAAGUCCCGGUAAACGGCGGCCGUAACUAUAACGGUCCUAAGGUAGCGAAAUUCCUUGUCGGGUAAGUUCCGACCUGCACGAAUGGCGUAACGAUGGCCACACUGUCUCCUCCCGAGACUCAGCGAAGUUGAAGUGUUUGUGAUGAUGCAAUCUCCCCGCGGCUAGACGGAAAGACCCCAUGAACCUUUACUGUAGCUUUGCAUUGGACUUUGAACCGAUCUGUGUAGGAUAGGUGGGAGGCUUUGAAGCGUGGACGCUAGUUCACGUGGAGCCGUCCUUGAAAUACCACCCUGGUUUGUUUGAGGUUCUAACCUUGGCCCGUGAAUCCGGGUCGGGGACAGUGCAUGGUAGGCAGUUUGACUGGGGCGGUCUCCUCCCAAAGUGUAACGGAGGAGUUCGAAGGUACGCUUGGUACGGUCGGAGAUCGUACCUAAAGUGCAAUGGCAAAAGCGUGCUUAACUGCGAGACCGACAAGUCGAGCAGGUGCGAAAGCAGGACAUAGUGAUCCGGUGGUUCUGAAUGGAAGGGCCAUCGCUCAACGGAUAAAAGGUACUCUGGGGAUAACAGGCUGAUACCGCCCAAGAGUUCAUAUCGACGGCGGUGUUUGGCACCUCGAUGUCGGCUCAUCUCAUCCUGGGGCUGUAGCCGGUCCCAAGGGUAUGGCUGUUCGCCAUUUAAAGAGGUACGUGAGCUGGGUUUAAAACGUCGUGAGACAGUUUGGUCCCUAUCUGCCGUGGGCGUUGGAAUCUUGACGGGGGCUGCUCCUAGUACGAGAGGACCGGAGUGGACGUACCGCUGGUGUACCUGUUGUCUCGCCAGAGGCAUCGCAGGGUAGCUAUGUACGGAAGAGAUAACCGCUGAAAGCAUCUAAGCGGGAAACUCGCCUGAAGAUGAGGAUUCCCUGGAGGCUUGACCUCCUUGAAGGGUCGUUCGAGACCAGGACGUUGAUAGGCUGGGUGUGGAAGCGCAGUAAUGCGUUAAGCUAACCAGUACUAAUUGCCCGUAAGGCUUGAUCCU